rnacentral:rRNA from 1 species
UACGUAGGGUGCAAGCGUUGUCCGGAAUUAUUGGGCGUAAAGAGCUCGUAGGCGGUUUGUCGCGUCGAAUGUGAAAACCCGGGGCUCAACCCCGGGCCUGCAUUCGAUACGGGCAGACUAGAGUUCGGUAGGGGAGUCUGGAAUUCCUGGUGUAGCGGUGAAAUGCGCAGAUAUCAGGAGGAACACCGGUGGCGAAGGCGGCUGACUGGACAUGUAUUGACGCUGAGGUGCGAAAGCGUGGGGAGCAAACAGG